rnacentral:rRNA from 1 species
AAUGAACGCUGGCGGCGUGCCUAACACAUGCAAGUCGAGCGAGAAAGUUCCUUCGGGAAUGAGUAAAGCGGCGGACGGUUGAGUAACACGUGAGAAUCUACCCUUUAGUGAAGAAUACCUUCGAGAAAUCGAAUUAAUACUGCAUAAGUCCCUUCGGGGAGAAAAGUGGCCUCUUUGCUACUGCUAAAGGAUGAGCUUGCGGACUAUCAGCUAGUUGGUGAGGUAAAGGCUCACCAAGGCUAUGACGGUUAGCCGGCCUGAGAGGGUGAACGGCCAGACUGGAACUUAGACACGGUCCAGACUCCUACGGGAGGCAGCAGUGAGGAAUAUUGCGCAAUGGGCGAAAGCCUGACGCAGCGACGCCGCGUGGAGGAUGAAGGUUUUCGGAUCGUAAACUCCUGUUAAGUGGGAAGAAAAGUCUGUGGUUAAUACCCGCAGAAAUGACGGUACCAUUAUAGAAGCACCGGCUAACUACGUGCCAGCAGCCGCGGUAAU